UCUCUCUCUCUCUCUCUCCAUAGCUUUCGUCUCUCUCACUCUCUCUCUCCAUCAUUUUUUCUUUGUUUCUUCUCUAGAAUGACCAUCACUACAACUACAAACCCUAGAUUCUCCACCGCCUGCUUCUCCAACCUCGACCUUCUUUCUGGCCAAACCCUCACCUCCGACAUUUGGCAAAGAUCAGUCCCAGCUGGAGUGCUCCAUCUCUAUCUCACCCUCUCUCCGUCUCUAUCUCCAUCUCUGCCUCACCUUCGCUCUCAAUCUCUGUCUCACCAUCUCUUUCCACCUCGAUCUAUCCUUUGAAACCGUCCCAAACUCUAAUUAAAACCCUCAUAAACCGAAACCCCAAUUCAAACCCUUGAUGAGUUCUAUAUAUGGCGAUCAGAUGAUGAGUUUUAUGUAUGGCAAUCCACUCUCACAACCGAUAAUGAGUUCUCUGCUUUAUCAGCUAAAAUUUUAAAACAAAUAAUGAUUGAUGAAGGGUUUAAAUAGUCAUCUAGAAGGCCCUAAUUUGUUGGGGUUCAAGAUCAAUUCCAAGGGUUGGUUGAUUUUUGAUGACCACGACAGUAAUAUGGCAUCAUUUAUUUCUUGAUCAGCUCAGCUCUUUGGUUUGGUGAACACACUUCUGGAAAAUUCCAAAAACACUGCAGAGAAGGAUCUUUCUAUUCAAAGAUAUGUUGUCAUUCCAUUGUCUCCAAACAGCGGAUUAAUAGGAUGGGUACCAAAUUGUGACACCCUGCACCAUCUCAUUCGGAGUAUAGAGAUGCUAGAAAGGUGUUUUGGUUAAAAAGUCGCACUUCUAAGAAUGGGCUGGACAGGAGGACAAAUUAUACUAGAAGCUUGGCUGUCAUAAGCAUGGUAUCAUUUUUCUUCUCAUAUUAUUUAGAUUUUUUUCUCAAGACUAGCAAGAUCCGGCUGUAUAUGUUUCCACAAAAUCAACACAAUAUGGCUCCCAUGUAUGAUCUUAUUUGUCAACCUUUUAUGCUUUAGAAAUGUUUAGAUAAGAGAAUGUUUCGAAGUGAAUGUAUGUUAUUUGAUUAUACUUUUCUUUCUUUGGUUAGAAUGAUAUACUAAGAAGGAACCCUACAAAUCACUAACUUAAUUUGUGAAUAUAUACCCAAUACAAUUGUGUGAUUAGGUGUCUAAAGUAUUUGAAUGCUUGUGUACAUAUCUUUCAUUGUGUAGAUAUAUGAUUUUUUGGGUACUGAUAUUCUUUCUGUCGUAUACAGGGAUUCUUUGUUAUUGUU